rnacentral:rRNA from 1 species
AACAAACGCUGGCGGCGUGCCUAACACAUGCAAGUCGUACGAGAAAGGGUCCUUCGGGGCCUGAGUAAAGUGGCGCACGGGUGAGUAACGCGUGGAUAAUCUGCCCUUCAGUUGGGAAUAACUCAUCGAAAGGUGGGCUAAUACCGAAUAAUGCUGUGAGACCUCGGUUGAUCAGCCAAAGAGAGCCUCUGCUUGCAAGCCCUCGCUGAAGGAUGAGUCCGCGUACCAUUAGCUAGUUGGUAGGGUAAUGGCCUAGCAAGGCGACGAUGGUUAGCUGGUCUGAGAGGAUGAUCAGCCACACUGGAACUGAGACACGGUCCAGACUCCUACGGGAGGCAGCAGUGAGGAAUCUUGCGCAAUGGGGGCAACCCUGACGCAGCAACGCCGCGUGAGUGAGGAAGGUCUUCGGAUCGUAAAGCUCUGUCGGAUGGAAAGAACCGCAUAGGGGUAAACAGCCCCUGUGUCUGACGGUACCAUCAAAGGAAGCACCGGCUAACUCCGUGCCAGCAGCCGCAGUAAAAC